GAUAAUGAGAAGAAGAGUAAGAAGAAAAAGAACAAAAAUAGGAAACUAAUAAUUUCACUUCCGUUCUUUCAUUUAUUUAUCAAACAUAGCAUUUGAAGCCGGGAUGAUGGAAUAGUCCAUAAUUUUCUGGUGGUAAUUUGGAGUUUGUAUUUCAUUAAUCACUCUAAUGACCAAACUGGUUAAUUGCUAGUACAUUAUUACAUUGUGUAGCAUUAAAUUCAUAUGCAUCGACCUUCUAUCAGUGACUAAGUGAGUUUAAAACAUCAACACUCACAUGGAAAGGCUCGACAGUCUGCAUUCAGAGGCUUUAUGAAGUCUGUCUCACCACAAAAGACUGCAUAUGGCAGAUGGAGGGAAGUUUACUACUGUGGUCAACUUUACACUGCCACCCAGUAAUCACUGAACCCGAAGUGUGAAAUUCUGGACCUAUGACUUUCUCUUCAACUAUGCAGUAUCUUCAUCCAGCACCUGCCAUGCCUCUCAUCGCAUCGAGUGGGAGUUCCUCUCAGGCACUGGCUGAGGACAUGCUGUGUGUUCAAUGAAUGAAACCUUCCAUUAGCCUGCCACUCACAGAGCUACGCAGUAUUGGUGGUUGGAGAUUUUGACGUGUUUUUUCCCAAAUGGGAGGCAUAUUUGGGCACUGUACAACUUUUCCUGUACGAUCGUGUACACUACCACAAACAUCCACUCGCACUAUUUCUCCACGUUAGAGUAUCUUAAGGGUUAAGUAUCACAACUCUUAAGCAACACAAAUAGAAGAAGCCUACAGGGAUUAUGUAGUGACCAAAAUUAAAUGCUUAACAAACCAAACUAUCUUAUAUUUUACAAAACUAGCCAUCGUAGUAGCCUAUUUUACAGCUCUACAUGCAUGAUGAGGUGCAUUUUAGGAUGUUUUUUUUUAAACAGUAUUCAGUAUGCUGAACACUUAUUGGCUACAUUUUUAGUUUUAGUUUCUGUAAAGGAAUUCAUACUUGACUUGAAAUGUAUAAACCUGAAACGUGACUAUUCUAAGGUCGGUUUGCAUACCAAAAUACACCUCAAGGCAAGACUUGCACUUUAGUUUGGAAUGUUUUCAGCAAUAAUGCAAAUCUUGUUUUUCCUAAUAUAUAUAUGAUACUUAUUAUAACUUUACUAUAAUUCACUUUACUUAUCUAUACACCUUUUGGUGUCCAUUAAUUGUACCUAUCAAAUAUUUGUGUAGCUAUCCAGUUCAGGUGCUGGGAUGUGCAUGCAAUGCAAAAUAUGCAAACAACGACGACAGUGAUAGGCGGCCAAAGGUCGCUGUAUCUCAGGUAAAAAAGUAGCACUUUUUAAGUUCUGUUCAAAACUUUUACAUAUAUAUAUAUAUAUAUAUAUAUAUAUAUUUUAUUCAUUAUUAUUUUAUAUUAAAUUAACAUCUCCAUGAAUGACAAAAAGUUCCUCAUUGUAAACCUAUUAUUCUACAAAAUCAGAAUGCGGAAUGAGACAUUUAAUAAAACCCAUCUGUUAAGAACUCAGUAUACCCUCAGAACCUUCUCCAAAAAUAUACACUUUUUAAGCGGGUACACCAUUAUCCUUAAGG